CCUACGGGUGGCAGCAGUGAGGAAUAUUGGUCAAUGGGCGCAAGCCUGAACCAGCCAAGUCGCGUGAGGGAUGACGGUCCUAUGGAUUGUAAACCUCUUUUGUCGGGGAGCAAGGCCCGCCACGUGUGGCGGGAAGGAGAGUACCCGAAGAAAAAGCAUCGGCGAACUCCGUGCCAGCAGCCGCGGUCAUACGUGGGAUGCGAGCGUUAUCCGGAUUUAUUGGGUUUAAAGGGUGCGUAGGCGGAAGGUUAAGUCAGCGGGAAAAUGUCGGUGCUCAACACCGGCCUGCCGUUGAAACUGGUCGUCUUGAGUGAGCGAGAAGUAUGCGGAAUGCGUGGUGUAGCGGUGAAAUGCAUAGAGAUCACGCAGAACUCCGAUUGCGAAGGCAGCAUACCGGCGCUCAACUGACGCUGAGGCACGAAAGCGUGGGGAUCGAACAGGAUUAGAUACCCUUGUAGUC
rnacentral:rRNA from 1 species